rnacentral:rRNA from 1 species
GACGAACGCUGGCGGCGUGCUUAACACAUGCAAGUCGAACGGAAAGGCCCUGCUUUUGUGGGGUGCUCGAAUGGCGAACGGGUGAGGAACACGUGUGUAACCUGCCCUGGACUUUGGGAUAACUUCAGGAAACUGGGGCUAAUACCGGAUAGGAGCUCCUGCUGCAGGGUGGGGGUUGGAAAGUUUCGGCGGUUGGGGAUGGACUCGAGGGUUAUCAGCUGGUUGGUGGGGUAAUGGCUUACCAAGGCUUGGACGGGUAGCCGGCCUGGGAGGGGGACCGGCCACAUUGGGCCUGCGAUACGGCCCAGAAUCCUACGGGAGGCAGCAGUGGCGAAUGUUGCACAGUGGGGCGACGGCAUAUGCAGCAACGCCGCGUGCGGGAUGCCGGCCUUCGGGUUGUCAUCCGCUUUAGCCUGUGACGAGGAGUGAGUGACGGUAGUGGGUAAAGAAGCCCCGGCUAACUACGUG